UCGAGAAUUUUUCUCAAUGGGCGCAAGCCUGAAGGAGCGACGCCGCGUGGGGGAUGAAGGGUUUCGAUCCGUAAACCCCUGUCAUUUGUGAACAAUGGUUAUUAUUUAAAAGAUGAUAACUUGAUAGUAAUGAAAGAGGAAGGGACGGCUAACUCUGUGCCAGCAGCCGCGGUAAUACAGAGGUCCCGAGCGUUGUUCGGAUUCACUGGGCGUAAAGGGUGCGUAGGUGGCUUGAAAAGUUUGAUGUGAAAUCUCCGGGCUUAACCCGGAAACGGCAUUGAAUACUCAUGAGCUGGAGGUUUGGAGGGGGGACUGGAAUUCUCGGUGUAGCAGUGAAAUGCGUAGAUAUCGAGAGGAACACCAGUGGCGAAGGCGAGUCCCUGGACAACACCUGACACUGAGGCACGAAAGCCGGGGGAGCAAACAGG
rnacentral:rRNA from 1 species